rnacentral:rRNA from 1 species
UACGAAGGGUGCAAGCGUUACUCGGAAUUACUGGGCGUAAAGCGUGCGCAGGCGGUUGUGCAAGACAGAUGUGAAAUCCCCGGGCUUAACCUGGGAACUGCGUUUGAAACUACAAGGCUAGAGUGUGGCAGAGGGGGGUGGAAUUCCACGUGUAGCAGUGAAAUGCGUAGAGAUGUGGAGGAACACCGAUGGCGAAGGCAGCCCCCUGGGUUAACACUGACGCUCAGGCACGAAAGCGUGGGGAGCAAACAAGG